UCCAUCAGGCAGUAGUUGUGAGCAUUGACCCUCGGAGAGUCUUUGUCGGGAGCCCUGAUGAUGUUGAAUUUAAGACCAUUAAGGUUUCUUCCCCAGGCCCCUCAGGUGAAGAGUAGGCAUGGUAUCAGUGCACAGUCAAUGGUGGACGUGAGGUUCGGCCUAUUGGAGCUUUUGAACUUGCAAAAGCUGUCCAAGAACUUGGAGCUGGAGAAAUACUAUUAAACUGCAUAGACUGU